CCUGUAAAGCUGAUCUUGGAGACAAGACCCUCUAAUUCACAGCAUAAAAUCAUAGAAAUUACACAAAGCCAGACUUCAGAAAAAACGCACUAGAACGAAGUAAAAGGCCCAUGUGGAGAGAGUAGCACUGUCUUCUACUUCACUCCUGCAUUUUUAAUGCAGCAAAUGUUCACGUUUCUUCUCCUGAGUCUCCUGACUGCUGAACAAUCCAAAUGUCUAUUUUAGGACAACCUUAAGACCUCCAUAGAAUUACAGAUGCUACUCUGCUCUUAUAGGUACAGCCUCCCUGAAUUACACCAUCCUUCUAUAUCCAAAUACAUUGCUCAGAACUAAUGACUGCAUCUCUACCUUCGGAAGAAGGGCAUUGCUUUGGAGGAAAUGUUACAGGUUGCAGAAUUUUUGCUCAGUCUGUCCUUACUGGUUUGCUUUGAAGAAACUCAAUCUGAUGUAAGGAGCUGUUCGGAUUGUCUCCCUGCAUUAAGAGGAGGGCUUAGAUACAUUGUUCAAAAUUUCUUUCCAAAGGCUGUGUAUAUGGACCCCAAAUGAGUUUAUCAGGUAAAAUAUGCCUUUUUUUUUCUUCUUUUUCUUUUUUUUCAAUCUGUUUUGCCCAAGCCCAGAAGGAAUAUUAUCCAGUGCUGCUGUCUUCUACCACUCCAAUGAAUAUUCAAGUCUUUUUGUCACAAGAGCAGUAAUUCCGAUAAUUUUUAUUGGUAUUCUUUCCUGGCACUUCUAGGAAGGAUGUCCAAGUUUAAAGGGUCCAGCACAGUCUGCAACAUUUAUUAUUUAUUCAUUUAUUCUGAUUUAUUAUGCAAGCCUGAUCCUCCAUUAUCACUGGGGUUACCAGUUAAGUCUUCAGCUUUUAGCUACUUUCAUUCCCUUGAUACAUAGAUAACAGCAGACUAAUCAAGUAGUUCUCACUUCUCUACUCAGAAACAGAUAGGCAUUUCUUUAUCUUCUAUCUUAAUUUGAUCCCUCAAAUAAUGACCA